ACAGACGAGGAGCUUGCUCCUCUGACGUUAGCGGCGGACGGGUGAGUAACACGUGGAUAACCUACCUAUAAGACUGGGAUAACUUCGGGAAACCGGAGCUAAUACCGGAUAAUAUAUUGAACCGCAUGGUUCAAUAGUGAAAGACGGUUUUGCUGUCACUUAUAGAUGGAUCCGCGCCGCAUUAGCUAGUUGGUAAGGUAACGGCUUACCAAGGCAACGAUGCGUAGCCGACCUGAGAGGGUGAUCGGCCACACUGGAACUGAGACACGGUCCAGACUCCUACGGGAGGCAGCAGUAGGGAAUCUUCCGCAAUGGGCGAAAGCCUGACG
rnacentral:rRNA from 1 species